AGAAGAAAAGGAGCUAAAGGAAUGACAGAAGAAAGCGCCAGCACGUGGAGGGGAGUGUUGAACCCAACAGAUCCUUUUCACAGAGAAGUCUGAGGAGCUCAGAGUGAUGAAGGAUGGGACGUAGCUUGUAAGAGGAAACUUGGGCAUAGAGAAGUUAUGGGAAAGGAGAGGGACAAAGUGCUUCUGACGUUGAUAGAAAAUGUUUAAUCUUACUCUUGAAGCAGUCUGUUGACUUAAGAGAAAAAAUAAGACAUCUGCUUAAGUUAGAAGAUGGAGAAGAGGUGCAGAUGGGCAGGAGCAUUGAUAGACUUGGCCUCGGAUAUCCAUUAUUGAGCAUAUCCUCUGUCUAAACUCUGACAGUGUGUUUCCAAGACAAGCUUGGAAGUAGCAGAACGGUUUUGAAAAUUGACCCGUGAGCUGAAACUGCUCAUCGGUUUGUGGAAAUGGAGCCGGUAUUUGCAUCCCUCCAUGCUGCUGGGUUCUGUGCACGUGUUUCUGCUUUUAGUACAGGACACCACUAAUAUAAAGGGAAAUUUUCAGAUACAUAUAUGCAGACAUAUAGAUAAUAUAUAAUAUUAUGUGGCGUGUAUUUAUUAGAUAUUAUUUAAUGCAGAAUUUGUUCAAAAUAACUCAGAAAGAUAGCAUUUAACUUUGUGUGACAAAGCAGAGCACACAUUGUAUAUUCAGUCUUAUAGUUCAAAUUCAGUUUCGGUCAAGGACCAAAAAUGUGUAAAUGAUUAGACUGUAAAAUAACAAAUCUAAAUGAAUCUUGGUGAAUUUCCUGCUAACACAGUAUGGUACAUAGUUUCAAGUGGUAUCUUUUACCAGAUCUUAUGCUCAAGUUGGUACAGGACUAUCAAACUGAUUAUAUCAGUAGGAUCUUUCAAAACAACCUAACUCAAAUAAAAACAUCUUUGGAGAUGGCAGUACUACAUGUACCUGCUGAAACCUGAACCUUUCCUAAGAGACUUACUGUUCGGUACUUGGACGACUAAGCCGUGCUUGUCCACGGUCUCGUCGUUCCGCAUUACUCUGUGCAUUUUCUUGUUUUCUUCCUGAAUACUUUUCUCUCCGCACAUCACUGUGUCCCUGUAAGUUUGCAGUGAGUCAUUUCAAGCAACUCCAGCCUUGCCGUGGCUCUUGAGGAGGCAGCAGAGCUUUGAUAGAGAGUGUUUGUUGGCAGUUUCUUCCUUCGUACUCCCAGCUGUGUUCUUACUCUCAGCUGAAAUACUUAAGCAGAAAUUUUAAGAGCAGAAAUGUCUAUUAGGCUGAUGUAAACUGACUGACAAAUAUAACUUCCCUCAGGAAUUCCACAUCAAUUCUAUAAUUUCCCUUUUGCCAGCGUCUCGAGGAAAAUGCUCCAUCUUGACAUAAAGCAAAAGAGAAGCAAUUUGAAGUAUUGCACAAGCUAUGAACAUCAGCUAAUAAGUCUUUUGCUGGGGUAGCAGCUGUCCUCUGUGACUUAGAGAUAAGAAGCAGACAGCUCAUACAACAGAUUUGUCCAGAAAUAUGUAGCAUUUCUUUAUCUGUUUCAGAAAUAAAAAUAUAGGUUCAUACCCCUUGAAAAAGUGCUUCAUUCCUACAGCUAUGCCUUAGCCCUUUAUCCUUACCCUGUUCCAGAUUUACUAUAGAAGCACCUUCUGGUCCUGCUCACACAUUUUUACCAAAAUAGGUUUUAGGGUUUGUUUGGGUUUGUUUUUUUUCACAUCCAAGUAUAAUGUAUUUUGUUAUCGACACUUUUAUAUGUGCUGAUAUUUCUUUAAAACCUGUGAAAACUCUUGCUUUGGAAAAUUGAUUCUUCUCCUUCCUAGUAUUACAUAUCACAUUUAUAGAGGUUCAUAGUGUUUUUCAUGUUUCUGUUGGUUUUAAAUUGUGUAUCAAUGACAAUUGAUAAUUGCGAUACAUAAGUAUGUCGUAUCGAGAGUGCGAUUGAUCGUGUUUUGGUCCGGCUGCCUGGUGAUGUUCCACCACAGCUCUUCUUUUGGCAGUAUGAGAAGAUCAGCAGCUCCAGAGCACAAUUCAACUCAUCUUAAAAUAGGUGGCGAAGCAGAAAUGAAUCCUAUUCAGAGUCAAACUGCCCUGUGAAAAACAGGAAGACACUUGAACGUACACAAGAAGGACAAAUAUUUAUGUUGGUGCUAAGGAGCAGUUGUCCUUCACUAGUUUAAAAAUAAAAUGAAAGCAAAAUGUGUUCUGUCAAAGUACAUCCCAUUAUAGCACCGGGAGCAGUGCACUGUCUCAAUGUGGUGCUACAAAACGGUGCACAAAAGCUACAGAAUGCAAGAAGGGAAUUUUCAAUCAGCUGGGAGCGCAUGCAGAACCAGUUGGGUUUUUCUUUUAGCUUCUGUGUUGAAGAUUCUGAAAUUCCAGCGUGCUGUGCGUGCUCCGGUGUUGCAGAGGAGCGUAACUUCAGUCGGCUCUUCCAAUUAUCCUCCUCAUUUCCCAGCAUUUGCCACUGGCCACGAGCAAGAACGGGAAACCCCUGGCUCGUUCCCUAGUUUAGUUCUGAGUUAAGAACACAUUAUUAAUGUUUCUUUCCCCACAGAGACGGUGGGCGCUCCCCUGCGAAAGGCCAAGGGAGCUGGGUGACCCGUGGGGCUUGUCACGGAGCCAUCCCGCUCCGUCCCUGUUGUGACAGUCCCGGUGAACAGCCACAGCUGAACCCUGGGGAGCUCAAAGCCACCGGGCCCUGGAGUUUCUGACUCAAAGAAAACUUUGAAACGAAGACAUUGGGGUCUUUCUCUCUGCCUCCCCCUUUUCUCUUUGAAGAAGUGUGUGUUGAUGGAAGUGGACGACGCAGGGAGUCAAUCAAGGGGGUAUCAGAGCCCGGGAGGGGAUCGCCCGCAGCAGCAGAGAAGACACAAUUACUACAACAACUGUCCAACCAACCACAGCCAGGAGACUCCACUUAAUCUAAUUGAGUGUGAAGGCAGGCUGGAGACACAGGACCCGCUCCUCCUUCCCCCUCCCACCACAUAGACACUAUUGGCUGCUAAUUGGCGCCAGUGGGCUGGUGCUAAUUGUGCUGAUGUCUUGGUCUGAGGACAGGCAUGUGAAAGAUGAAGGGGUCUGCUGGGAAUAGGAGGAGGGGAGAGCAAGGGAGACAGUGGUCAUAAAAGUUGGAACAGGGCUUUAAUUUCAUAUCAAAUAUUUAAGUAAGUGAGUGGAAGAUCUGUGAACUCUCUUUGUGGUAACCCGCAAAAGGCCUUGGAGAAUUCCACCCCCCUCCGGCCUCAGCAGUGCGCUGUCUGAAGUGCUGUGCUCCUCUUCCUCCUUAGCUUUGUUUAAUUAAUUGUGAGAAUCGCUAAUGAUCCUUUAUUCCUCUUCAUUCCUUCUCUGCUUUCUGACAUCACUGCUUCUUCAUGCUUUAAUUCAAAGAUUCAGAUUUUCCAGCUCUAGGGCUGUCCAGUGUUUACUGGCCUUCAUUGCGUGGACAUUUUGGCUGUGUAGAAUGACAGCAAAGGCUGCGAUCCUGUUCAUUACCCUGAAACUGGAUAAGAUCUGAUUUGUACAUGCAAGGCCAGGGUGAGCAGUGGUGGCCGUGUGCGGCGCUUUUCCUUAUAAAGGUCUGAUCAAACUUCUGCUGGUGGAGGUUUACGUGUAUCAGAUGUUAGUAAGGCUUGUUUACACAGAAAUAUUUAUAUAUAUUAAAUAGCAAAGAUGUUUUUCUCAAUCAGAAUGCACUCUACCUGCAUAUUAAAAUACUUUUUUGCUCAACUUUUGCUCUGUGCAGCACUUAUGGAACAAGUUGCUGCGCGCUGACCCUGUUCCGGCUCCUUAUCCCCACCACUCGUGCUGGGGGUGGGUGUUGUCUGAGAUGUGUCAGCAGAGAUGCUGCUGUGAGCGCUCUCCAGCCUGCGUGAGUCAAACCCGCGUGCUCAUUGGGGCAGUAAGCUGCUCCCAAAGUGCGUGAGUGUGGGGCAGUGGGAUUGGAGGCACCCAUCGUUUCCACCUGACAGCUGGAUUCAGCAAGAUGUCUCUGUCCUCUGUUGCUUCCGUGUUAGGUUGGUAUAACUAGGACCCAGAAACCUUGUGAUGCGGUUUCGUGACUGACUUGAGAGGAUGUGAUUGCGUGAAGCAGGACAAUUCAUCCAGAGAGGCAGACGGCUGGUCGGGCAGUGCACGUGCUGUGCUGCAAAGUGACCCUUUCCAGUGCGGACACACCAAACCAUGCCCUGGUUUUGCAGAACAGACGUGCGGAAACUUCCCGGCGGUGCUCGGACCCGCCAGCGUUCAAGGGACCUUUCGGCACUUCAGCUUUGCAGCACUGAAAACCACAAGCCUUUGAAAACAUGAAUCAGGCCUUCUGAAAUGGAGACGGGUUUAAAAAUGAUGAUUUGUUGUUUUUACAUUUGCCUUCUGAUUUUUUUCUCCUGCUGGGUCUUAUGUCUUCAAUCUGUUCCCUGAAACCAUGACGAUUAGAAAUCUUUUCCUGAUGAAAUUUGACAGUCUUGUGUAAUCACAUGACUCCAGGCACCAAUAUUGUGAGGAAAAGAAAUUUGGAACAAAAUCCUGAGAGCUCUCUCCGCUGACACUGAGACGCAACUUUUGAAUCAAGAACUUUCCAGCAUUUUGUAACUGGUACAUCAGGCUGGCAGACACACAAUAAAACUGUGAGCGGCCCUGGCGAUGUGGCAUCUUUGGCAUGGACUUUCCAAUGGCUUCAUGUUGUGCCGAGGAGUCGGGAAGCCUGGAGGAGACGUCUGAAGCCCGGGCUAUGGGGCAAAGAGGCGCUGGGACUGCCACCCUGCGAGGACAAGGCAUUCCGGGGGCUGCUGCACAAACAGCUGUGAAGCAGGGCAAAAGGCAACCUGGAACUGCACAUUUUCCUUCAUGCCAGUAGAUAGAUGGCUCGGGCUGAGGCGGUUGCAUAGACUCUAUAAAGCACGUGGAAGAAAAGUUGUCCUGCUGCUUCUCAGCCCCUGAAUUGAGUUGUCUGGUGGAAGAGCGAGUGUGCGAGGAAACGCAGCCCUGUCCUGUCCUCCCGUGCAGCCCUGACCCAGCUCCAGAGAGCACAUCACACAGGAGCAGCCCAGGCUCCAGCCGACUGAAGGGAGCGGUAAGUCCUGGUUCCAGUGGGGCUUUAAGUGACCAUGCGAGUGGAACUGAGAAAAACAUCUGCCAACAGUGGCAGCAGAAAUUGCAAAAUGCUGAGCGAUUCUGUCUUCUCUUGGCGGUUCAUCUUUAGUACCGAAUGUGCCUAAAAACUUGGGAUUCUAGGUCAGGCAGCCGGAUGUUUGUUCGGUCCAGAGGGUGGAACAGACGGUGAUUGUGUUAAAAAAAUACCGAGAAAUUUCAGACCUCACAUUUUUAAGCUCUGAUUUGAAGACAAGGCCAGGCUCUGCUGUGCCAGUGUGGUGCGAACCGUGCCCAGCGCUGUGGCGCAGGGUCGGGGAGGUUUUCUCACUGCGGGGAGCAGCUUGUGAUUUCCCAAAGCCCAAGCAGGCGAUUUCUCUCUCUUUCUCUCUCUCUCUCUCUCUCUCUCUUUUUUUUUCCCCUUUCUGCCUGGGAAGGAUGCAGCAUCACAGACCUUGUCACCCGGAGCUUAGAGGACAGCAACCAUAUGCCUUCCGACCUCCCCUUGCUUUUCUAGGAAAGAUUCAGCCUGCUGGGCAUUUUCUAUCAGAACGGUGAAGAGAGGAGGCUGGGAUGUGGCCCGGGCUGGCUCCCUGGUGCUGUGCAGGGGUGGAGGGAAAGGGGGAGGGCGACAAGGGGAGGAGGAGGGUGAGGAGACUGGGCUGCCAAAGAGGAGGAGGAGGGAUGGAAGAGGGGCGAGAUUGGCAUCUUCAUGUGCAUGAGGCCGGCCAGCGUCAGGACAGCUUGAUGAGCCCGCGGGCUGCUAUCUCUCGCCGUCGUUCUGAUCGCAGUGAUGCGCUUGUCUGGUGGCUUGGACACCAGCUUUCAUUAUCAUGCUCGGCAACAUUUGCAGAGGCGGGGAAGGAAGGGAAUGGAGGAGGUAGAGAAGCCCCGGAGUUACACACACACACAAAUCAGAGACAGGAAAGACAGAGAAACAGCUUUGGCUCCAGGCUAUUGAUCUUGUUCUGUGACACUUGCUCGGUUCCCACUUAGUGCGCUUCUCUGCUGUCGAACCUUCCCGGUACGGCUACAGCAGCUCUCCGUGAAAGAACAGUGAACACAGAAUGGUAGCAAAGGGCUUAGCAACCCAUGGGUUGACCCAUUGAUUUGAAGCCAUUUUGGAAUCAAUCCCGUAUGCUUGCGGCAGCACAAACCCUCUGACAUGUCUCCAUGCUCACCCAGACACACUUCCCCAUGCUUUUCUCACUGAUAUACACAUGCGUCCUCUUCAUGGGUCUGUAUUCAUGCUCCUUACCUGGGCUUCCAAAUGCUCAGACUCACUUUUCUCCCCCAGCCUCUCAGCAGUCUUGUCUUUUUGUCCAGGUAAAGGAAUCUGGAGGCAGAGCUGUCGAAAUGUCUGAGAAUAGUGAUGGUUUGGGGGGCCUGGCCCCUGAUGUUGCACUGUUAUUACUAAGGCAAUGACUUUAACCCCACCUGCACUAUAGGCAAACAUACCAGGAUGUUAUUCAGGCAACAUCAGACUGUUCUUGUUUCUUUUUACCUCAGUUGUAAGUUUGUUCCCUGUGAACUGGGCAUUGCUGCCUCAGUCAUGUGUGGCUGUUGUGGCAACAGCAGUUUUGAUCUUUUCCAUGGGUUUUCUGUUGGUUUGUUUGGUGUGGGGUUUUGGGGGUUUUAUUAUUAUAUUUUUAAAUGUAACCAACUGCCUGACCUCAGGGAAAGGGAAAGAAACUGCUGGUGGGCAGAGUCAAGUGAACCAGGAUUGUCACUGAAUAUCACAAGACUUCUGGUAAAAUUAUAUGACACUGUGCUGUGGCUGCCCAUACUUUUUGUCUUGUGAGGAUCUCUGGGGUUAUCAGACAGUUGCCUUCCCACCAGAACAUUUUGGGCAUGUAGGAGAUCUGCUGAGUUGAUGCCACUUUGCUGUUAGCAUCAUUUUCCUUUAUUUGGCUCCUUCUUCUAGAGCUUCUCCACUCCUCAGGCUGCAAGUUUAGUUCAACUGUAAGACCAAAAAGGAAUUUUUGAGUUAAUGUAAUUUCCCGGUUACUGUCUCCCUUUCUGGCCUGAACACAGACAUAUGCACAUGCAUGCACAGCCUAUACGUGCUCUGUAUCGCAGGCAUGUGCGCGGUCAGUUUUGUAUUGGGGAUGCUGGAAUGCCAUGGCUGGCAGGAGCUGCUCGCUGGAUUAGCUGGUAAAUCCAUCUGGAACUCCCAAUGGGAGGGAUGGGCAGCUUCAAGAUGAAUAACGGCUUGUCUGAAGCAGCAAAAUGGAUUAUUUUAUCAAAAAGAAGGGGGGGAAUACCCUUUUUCUCCUUGUGGACAUUUGCCUGAGAUGGAGGGGAGUGGUUUCAAGAAGAUAAGGAAAGAAGAGAUGGUUUUUGAAGAAGAAAUGAUUCCUACUGUGUUGUUCAAUACAGUUGUUGAUCCUUUCUCAGUGUAUUUAACUGCAUUUGGUCUUCCUAUUAAACUGUUCCUCUAUUUCCUAAAUAUUCAUUACACAUGUGAGACUGUAAGGGGCAAGGCAGCUCCUCAUCAGCUUUCCUAGUGACAUGAUGAGGAGGGUUUUUAUCAGUCCUCCUUGUCCUUCUUUUGCUGUGCAAGAUGUAAACCGCUUCCAGAAACGCGCCUCGGUGCUGACCCCCAGGCUCGGCCGCGGCUUUGGGGCUGAAGCCUCAGGGCUGUGCCGUUUCCUUUCCCGUCCAGAGAUUUGACAUUGACUGAUGGAGUAAAACCAGUCGCUUGUUUAAGAAAACCUGUGUGGAGAUCAGCCAGCUUCAUCUGGCAUUCAGCAACAACCGUACUUCAGACCUACCUGUGCAAAGGAAGCCAACCAGCAGAAACUGAAAUGCUGGCGAGAGUGGGGGACACUCUUUAUGAGCAUCGACAGGCCCAAACCAAGUUGCAUUUGCUGAUGUAUUGCUUAGAUAAGUGACUGAGGAAAUAAAAAUAGCUAUUCCUCCCCUUGCCCUCAUGCUGUUGCAUAAUGUUUCCUACACAAAGCCAAACACUUUGGAAUGAGAAGAGCUUUUCCUUUUUCUCUGUGGUUGCCUUAUCCAUCUACAGGGUUGCCAGUUGUAUUGCAGGCUUGCAAAAUACGUGGUGUGCAAGUCUGUGCUCUGCUGUGAAGCGCCGGCUUCUGGAAGUGUUUUGUUAUGAGAGACACUCAGAGCCUCUGUUUCU